rnacentral:rRNA from 1 species
UACGUAGGGUGCAAGCGUUGUCCGGAAUUAUUGGGCGUAAAGAGCUCGUAGGCGGUUUGUCGCGUCUGCUGUGAAAACCCGAGGCUCAACCUCGGGCCUGCAGUGGGUACGGGCAGACUAGAGUGCGGUAGGGGAGAUUGGAAUUCCUGGUGUAGCGGUGGAAUGCGCAGAUAUCAGGAGGAACACCAAUGGCGAAGGCAGCUCGCUGGGACGGUACUGACGCUGAGGCGCGAAAGCGUGGGGAGCAAACAGG